AGGGGGCCCUGCACGCUCACCACCCGGCCCCGCAGGUGCACGAGCUCCCCGCCGCUCACUUCCACCUUGUCUCCGAGCCUGAAGCUCUGCUCCGCGGAGCUGUCCUCUGCGGCCAGCUGCAGGGCUUGCAGAGCCUCGGGCCGCUCCUCGAACUGCUGCAGCUCGGCCAGCGUGGGCUUCACGCCCUCUCGGAGGACGCGCGACACGCUCAGGGUCUUCAACAGGAAGCCUCGGGGGCUGUAGCGGUUGCCCCCGAAGACCAGGAAAUCUCCAUCGAAGGUCAGCCUGCCGCCCAGAGAGCGAAUCUUGUGCGCAUCCAGCAGCUGCUGCGGAGGUCUUCGCUGGAACCUCCGCCUCUUGGCCAAGCCCUCUGGGGGCUGCUGGCCGCCCGCCAGGAGGCCGUAGUCGAUUCGAGGAAUCAGCUUGAGGGAGACGCUGCUUUGGUCCGGCUCCACCCGAGACACCUGAGCCAGGUCACCCCUGUACAGGCCUGUCCUCACGCGCACCCAGCUCUUGGGCUGCAGGAUGGGGCCCUCCUUGGACAGCACCUUGAGCACGUCGGUCAUCUCCCCGAUGGGCACCUGCUGCUGCUGCUGCUGCUGCAGGCGGCCCUGCCGCAGGCUGACCAAGCCUUCGAUGGCCUGCAGGACGUGGCUGGCCUUGUAAGCCUCCACGUAGAUGUAGCCCUUGAGGUUCUCCGGGGCCACCGCGGACUUGAUCAGCAGGGGGCUGUCUGUCUUCUGGGAUGCUAUCUGAAUACGUGGCUGCUGAUGAGAACACAAUCUGUGUAAAAGGAAAAAAAGGACCUUGGACAGAGCCUCAGGCAAGGAAAGGAAAGAGAAAGAAGACAAAGGGGAGAAAAACCUAAGAAAUUGCUUGUCCUAGAAGAUAAUGAAAGAAAGAAUAUUCAAAAUGGAAGGAAUGGCAAAGGUUACCAAAAGCUUCAAAGAAAUUGUAGAGCUGUGAUAUGUAUUAUCUACGCUAUCUAUAUUUUACUUGCACUUAACUGUAACUCCUAUUAGAACCUGAGCUCAUAAUGAGUAGGGAUUGCUUUUUACUCCUAGUACCCAUUGAAGUGCUCAGCAUACAGCAAGUGCUUAAUAAAUACUGGUUAGUUGAUUGAGUGAUUGAGCA
rnacentral:lncRNA from 1 species